rnacentral:rRNA from 1 species
UCCGGAGGGUGCAAGCGUUAUCCGGAUUUACUGGGUUUAAAGGGUGUGUAGGCGGGCUUUUAAGUCAGUGGUGAAAUCUCCGGGCUCAACCUGGAAACUGCCAUUGAUACUAUUAGUCUUGAAUAUUGUUGAGGUAGGCGGAAUAAGUCAUGUAGCGGUGAAAUGCAUAGAUAUGACUUAGAACACCAAUUGCGAAGGCAGCUUGCUAAACAAUGAUUGACGCUGAGGCACGAAAGCGUGGGGAUCAAACAGG